rnacentral:rRNA from 1 species
UACGAAGGGGGCUAGCGUUGCUCGGAAUUACUGGGCGUAAAGGGCGCGUAGGCGGCGCUGCAAGUCAGGCGUGAAAUUCCUGGGCUUAACCUGGGGGCUGCGCUUGAGACUGUGGUGCUAGAGGAUGGAAGAGGCUCGUGGAAUUCCCAGUGUAGAGGUGAAAUUCGUAGAUAUUGGGAAGAACACCGGUGGCGAGGGCGGCGAGCUGGUCCAUUACUGACGCUGAGGCGCGACAGCGUGGGGAGCAAACAGG